UGGGGAAUAUUGCACAAUGGGCGCAAGCCUGAUGCAGCCAUGCCGCGUGUAUGAAGAAGGCCUUCGGGUUGUAAAGUACUUUCAGCGGGGAGGAAGGGAGUAAAGUUAAUACCUUUGCUCAUUGACGUUACCCGCAGAAGAAGCACCGGCUAACUCCGUGCCAGCAGCCGCGGUAAUACGGAGGGUGCAAGCGUUAAUCGGAAUUACUGGGCGUAAAGCGCACGCAGGCGGUCUGUCAAGUCGGAUGUGAAAUCCCCGGGCUCAACCUGGGAACUGCAUUCGAAACUGGCAGGCUAGAGUCUUGUAGAGGGGGGUAGAAUUCCAGGUGUAGCGAUGAAAUGCGUAGAGAUCUGGAGGAAUACCGGUGGCGAAGGCGGCCCCCUGGACAAAGACUGACGCUCAGGUGCGAAAGCGUGGGGAGCAAACAGG
rnacentral:rRNA from 1 species